UACGAAGGGGGCUAGCGUUGUUCGGAUUUACUGGGCGUAAAGCGCACGUAGGCGGAUAUUUAAGUCAGGGGUGAAAUCCCGGGGCUCAACCCCGGAACUGCCUUUGAUACUGGGUAUCUUUGAGUCCGGAAGAGGUGAGUGGAAUUCCGAGUGUAGAGGUGAAAUUCGUAGAUAUUCGCAAGAACACCAGUGGCGAAGGCGGCCAACUGGUCCGGUACUGACGCUGAGGUGCGAAAGCGUGGGGAGCAAACAGG
rnacentral:rRNA from 1 species